AGUGAACGCUGGCGGUAGGCCUAACACAUGCAAGUCGAACGGCAGCACAGUAAGAGCUUGCUCUUACGGGUGGCGAGUGGCGGACGGGUGAGGCAUACAUCGGAAUCUACUUUUUCGUGGGGGAUAACGUAGGGAAACUUACGCUAAUACCGCAUACGACCUACGGGUGAAAGCAGGGGAUCUUCGGACCCUGCGCGAUUGAAUGAGCCGAUGUCGGAUUAGCUAGUUGGCGGGGUAAAGGCCCACCAAGGCGACGAUCCGUAGCUGGUCUGAGAGGAUGAUCAGCCACACUGGAACUGAGACACGGUCCAGACUCCUACGGGAGGCAGCAGUGGGGAAUAUUGGACAAUGGGCGCAAGCCUGAUCCAGCCAUACCGCGUGGGUGAAGAAGGCCUUCGGGUUGUAAAGCCCUUUUGUUGGGAAAGAAAGGCAGCAGGUUAAUACCCCGCUGUUCUGACGGUACCCAAAGAAUAAGCACCGGCUAACUUCGUG
rnacentral:rRNA from 1 species